UGCAUACGAAAAUGUAAAAAUAGCACAUCAUGAGUAAUAGUUUUCAUAGGAUAACUGGAUGAUCUUCCCUAAGAGCUUACAUCGACAAGAAGGUUUGACACCUCUAUGUCGGCUCUUUGCCACAUGGGACUGUAGCAUUUUCCAAGGGGUUGGGCUGUUCGCCUAUUAAAGUGUUACGUGAGUCGGGUUCAAAAAGUCGUGACACAGUUCGAUCCAUAUACAGUGUGGACGUUAGAGCAUUAAGAGGAUAUUUUCCUAAUAUGAGAGGAUUGGGAAGGACGCACUUCUGAUGUAAUAAUUAUUGUGCCCAUGGUAAACACUGGCUAGUCGUAAUUAAUUGAUUAAUUAUGUGAAGAAUUUAUUAACUGUUUAAUUUAUAAAUAAAUAAAAAUAAUAGAUGAAAGUGUUUUGUACUUAUAAGUCCAUAG
rnacentral:rRNA from 1 species